AUUGAACGCUGGCGGCAGGCCUAACACAUGCAAGUCGAGCGGCAGCGACUUAACUGAACCUUCGGGGAACGUUAAGGGCGGCGAGCGGCGGACGGGUGAGUAAUGCCUGGGAAUAUGCCCUGAUGUGGGGGAUAACUAUUGGAAACGAUAGCUAAUACCGCAUAAUCUCUUCGGAGCAAAGAGGGGGACCUUCGGGCCUCUCGCGUCAGGAUUAGCCCAGGUGGGAUUAGCUUGUUGGUGAGGUAAUGGCUCACCAAGGCAACGAUCCCUAGCUGGUCUGAGAGGAUGAUCAGCCACACCGGAACUGAGACACGGUCCAGACUCCUACGGGAGGCAGCAGUGGGGAAUAUUGCACAAUGGGGGAAACCCUGAUGCAGCCAUGCCGCGUGUGUGAAGAAGGCCUUCGGGUUGUAAAGCACUUUCAGUAGGGAGGAAGGUAGUGUAGUUAACACCUGCAUUAUUUGACGUUACCUACAGAAGAAGCACCGGCUAACUCCGUGCCAGCAGCCGCGGUAAUACGGAGGGUGCGAGCGUUAAUCGGAAUUACUGGGCGUAAAGCGCAUGCAGGCGGCCUGUUAAGUCAGAUGUGAAAGCCCGGGGCUUAACCUCGGAAUUGCAUUUGAAACUGGCAGGCUAGAGUCUUGUAGAGGGGGGUAGAAUUUCAGGUGUAGCGGUGAAAUGCGUAGAGAUCUGAAGGAAUACCAGUGGCGAAGGCGGCCCCCUGGACAAAGACUGACGCUCAGAUGCGAAAGCGUGGGGAGCAAACAGG
rnacentral:rRNA from 1 species